AUGCUCAAAUAAAUUGGUGAGUCUCUUAAGGUGCCACAAGUCCUCCUUUUCUUUUUGCGGAUACAGACUAACACGGCUGCUACUCUGAAAUCUGGACAAUCUUGGAGUUUAAGAGUUUAAAAAAGUAAAAUUUGGCUAUUUUGUCAGUAUUUUGCUGUGAUUUAUAAUUUUGGUCUUUCUGACCAGAAUUUGGGUACCCUUAAAGAUUGUUUGGUGGGGCAAAUGUCCCGCCGGUGGCACCAGGCCUGCUUGGGAGCAGUGUGAAUGUGCAGGAAGGGGAGCCCCAGGGUCCAUGCAGGGUGAGCAGUGUCUGACGUGCAGAAUGCUGUGUCCUUCAGCUGAUCCGAGAGAUCUGAGCUCUGAUGCCUGUUUGUUUCAUCAGGGUGGGGGAACAAAGCUACCCCCCCCUCCAAUGGAAUAAUCUGGAAAGCUCAAUAAUGGUUACUUUACAGUUUCCCUUUCCCACUCUGGCAGACCCUGGGUUUGCAUGGGAGGAGUGACCCAGGUCCAAAAGUGGAACUUUCUCUAAAGCAAUUACUGAGUUAUAUACUGUAGCCUCCUCUGUGCAGCAAUAAAUUCACAGGCAGCGACAGCAUCCCAUGAAGUAAUCUUUUUAAGGGGCUGAAGUCAAUUCCACCCUCAGUUAUUAAACAGCACGUGCUGUAUUUUUGCUACAAACAUACUUUGAUCAGCAUGGCAGUGUCUUGGCAGUUAAGCCAUCCCACUGGGUAGUAAUCCUAUAUGCUGCUCUCCACUGAUGAUAUCAUGUUUUAUCUGCUACUGAUCACCCAUCUUUCAAGGCCCUGCUGUUUUCUGGCAGCCCCUCUCGCUGAGUUUUCUAUGGGAAGCUGUAGGAGAGAAGGAGCUGUGUCAUAUUCAUCUGUGGUGACCGCUUGCUAGAUUUCCUCUGGCUCUUGCAGCAUCAUCUGCAUUAGAGCUGACUGGGAAUUUUUCAUUGGAACCCCCUCCCCCUUUUUUUUUAAAAUACUAAUUUGCUGAAACUGAAUAUUUUCGUGGGUGCUGUUGAACCUUUCAUUGUGGGAGGAUCUCGCGACAGGAUGGAAUUUUUGGUCAAAACUAGAGUGAGAGAGACAAGCUGGGGGCUUAGAAGAGUUCACAUCUUUGCUUCUGCCUGAUUUAGAGCACGGGCUCACACCCAUGUGUCCCACGUCCCAGACUAAACACUGUUUUGGUUUAAGAAGGCUGUCUGGGCACUGUGUUCCCCACUGGUCUCAGACUCCUGAAGGGAAGAACCAUGGGUGCUGAACCUAGUUGGAUUGCAAGCUGCUGAUUUCAUCCCUGUGGCAAGGUGUAAAUGCGCUCCAGCCUGCAUGGAAUUACUCCAUUCCAGCCUAUCACAGAGCUGAUCUGGGUGGGGUUAUAAAAGAAAAAGGGGAAAUGAUGUAAGGUGGCUAUUGCAGAGGAAGGCUGUGCCUUCUCCUUUCCUGCUGGCUGUACCUGGAAAGACCUUGGGUGGUUAUUUACCCAGUGGUUGGAGUUGAUUUGUUCUGGUUUUGAGUCUUGGUUUUGGAAAUAAAGCAAGCCCAGAAAUAAGGGAUGUGCAGUGACCUGUAGCUGGGACUCUUCUUUUUCCUUCCCCAACUGGCCAGUCUGUAUGCUGCCGUAAAGACCCUUCCUCAGAUAGCACAUUAUUGGCAGAAGAAGGAAUAGAAGCCAAG